GAUGGAACAAAAUACUGUUGGGUGGAACAAAAUACUAUCGGAUCUUAUAGAUGUCCAUCCGUUUAUAAAUUUUAUUCAUAGAAAAUAUAAUAGGUUGGUUCAAAUUAUUAUCCCACUUAUACACUAAAUAUUUUAUAUUUAACAAUACUAUAUUUAGAAGAUUUGAUUAAGAAUUGAAUAUAUAUUUGGCAGAUUCUUGUACGGUUUAGUAUGAAGCGAAACUCGUUACAGAGCCCAAUAAUUUGUUCCGUAGGAGAAAAAUAGGUUAUUUAGUUUCACUAAAAUUUAUCUUAAAAAAAAAUCACUAAAAUUUAGAAAGAAGAACGAUAUUGACUUCAAUAGCUCCAACUUAACUAAUGUCAAAAUUUAAGUAGAUGUUAUAGGAAAAGAAAAAAACGUUAUUUAGAUGGCA
rnacentral:sRNA from 1 species